rnacentral:lncRNA from 1 species
GGACUUUGUGAUGCAUGGGGCAGCCACCCCCAAAGACCAGCGUGACAUGGUGGUGUCCCGGUGCCUUUAGGGGCCAGAGUCCCCGUGCCGCUCACUCUCAGGACAGCGGCUCCGUGAGGAGGCAGCAGCUCCUGGGUGCCUGUAGUGAACAGAUACAGAGAUGGCGAAGGAGGAAGACCAGGAAGCCCGCUCCCAGGCCGAGAAAGAACUGCCGAGCGUGAGGGAACAGCGCCAGGUGCGGGAUGUGCUGGGAGGGAGAGGGAUACCACGGCACCCAAAGCACCGGGGCAGGGGGCACAGCAGCGGGUGGGGUGCCAUGGCGGGCCCUGAGCACCUGUGGCCAGGGCACCGCUCCUCCUGCCCCGGGGCGUUUCCUGGGCACCAGCCGACUCCCAGGACAGCUCUGCACCCGAGGCAGAGAGCAGUAGGACCCAGCUCAGCAGGGCUGUCUGUGUCCGGGAACAGCCUCCUCAUGGGGGCUUUGCCAGGGACGCUGGUGGUAAUGCAGCCACCUCCAUCUCACGCCUCCUUCUCCCCACAGGUGGGCCGCACGGCGCCGCGAGCGGUGCCGCCGGGCAGCCGGAGCCCGGGCUCGUCCCUCCACGGCGUCCAUCUGCCGCCGCUGCCCGGCCCGGAGAGCUCGCGGGCCUCCGGGAGCCGCCGCGCACAGGUAGGGAGCCCGAGGGAAAUGGGAAGGUCUUCCAGAGUGCAAGGAGCAGCCAACCAGCAGGUGGCAGCUGCUGGCGGAGACCGCUCCCAGCAGGACGAGCCUGCUGCAGCCACGUGGCUGCUGGCGUGUGCUGGGCACUGCUGGGGGUGCAGCCGGACUGUGACCGUUCUGCUCUAGGGAACGGGGCGGCAGCGGCCGUGAGCUGGGUGCUGGCCUUCGGGGCCCUGCGGGAGCCCUUCCGACAGGGACCGGUGCGGCGUGAGAGGAAAGGACUCUGCUAACUUCAGGUUUCCACAUGGCUUCUCUUGCAGGCGGACAGAAUGGAGCUCGGGCAGGGACUGCCCCGCAGCAGUGGCUCUGGGGAAGGGAGACGGCCUCUGCCAGCCUUGCCGCCUCUCCCACAGGGGGCGCUGUCACUGCCAGCUGCGCCCCAGAAUGCAGCCACUGCUCGGGGACGAGUCCCCAGAUUCUAUUCAUUGCCACCAAUAGCCUCCGGGCAUUUUCCAAGAGGCAGAGCCAUCAUUACCAGGAUACGGCAGCGAGGGCCGAGGGCUGGCAGGCAGAUCUGUGUCCAUGCACUCCCCCUCAAGCCUGCAGAAAGAACGCCCAAGUUCCUCAGGCUAGCAUAUUGGGUGCGUUUGGGAGCCACACGACCAGGAGCCUGCCUGAAGCCAACACGGCCUGGGCGACGUGCACCCACCAUCACUGUGAGCACACCAGCACAAACAACCCAGGUGCUGGCCCCCAAGGCUGGGAAAGGCCCCGAGGAUGAGACACAAUCUGCUGCCAGUGCUCAGGAAGACACCGGAGAUGCUGACACCAGAGAUGCUGACAGGGUCUCUACUUCAUGUUUCCUGGCAGCAGAGCAGGCAGCAGACAAUGGUGCCAAAGGUGCUGGCACUUCUCAGGCCAUGCUGGAUGUCAAGAGCAGCAAAGAGAGGGCCAGCUCUGCCAGGAGAGGGAGCAGCUUCCUGCCCUGCUGUCAUUGCUCUUCAACCACAAGUGCUGUUCUGACAGAUGAGCAGGAAGGAGGAAAAGACACUGCUGAGAGAGACGCUGUGACAGUGGCAGCCAAAGAUCCAGGGAGCACAUCAUUUGGUGAUGCAGAGGCCCUGCCUCCAGCGUCUUCAGUGCCUGGAAACCUUCAGCAUGAUGUGGACAGCUGGAGAUCAGGGACACAUUCAGCCACAGCAGCAUCUCAGGGGAGGAGAGAGAGCCUCUGCCAACUUGUGUACCAUCCCUGGAUGUCCCUGCAUCCCCUCUCAAGCCUGCACACGCCACACGCAAAUUCUACAACUUGACAUACAUAAGGCGUCCCGUAGCCACCAGACCUAGACCCUGCCAGAAACCAGCAAGUCCAAGGCAGAGUGCACCCACCAGCACUGAGGAAACACCAGCACAAGCAACGCAGGUGCUGGCCCCCCAGGUUGGGAGCAGCCCCACACAUCAGACACCACCUGCUCCCAGUGCUCAGGAAUGCACCAGAGAUCUUGUCAAGGCCUGCAUGUCCCUUCAGUCUCUCUCAAGGCUGCGAAUGAAAUACCCUAGUCACUCUGAUGCUGGAGGCAACAAGCUUCAUGGCCUCCUCUGCUCGCUGUUCUUGAGCUUACAUUCACUCAAGCUCCUGUCCUCCAGCUUCUAUCAGCUCAAGUCACUUGAGAGGCCUUUCUCAUGAUGUAGAAAAGCAGUUCUCGUGAUUCAAUACCCAUGCAGAUUUCCUGUUCUCCACAGCUGUUUAUCAUGUCAGGUACCACUUCUGCCAAGCAGCUCUUCCUUCUUCAUCACUACAUCACAGAUUGCUUCUCACCUAGCAUUUAUAAGACCAUUCAGUACAGGGAUUUCUGAUUUGGUUAAAUCUGGCUUUUUCAUCUGGAACUGAAGAAGCACUAUGUAUUCUCUACAGCAAAGAUAAUACACUUUGCUUCCUCUGUUUCUCUGAUUUGUUUCCAGAAGUACAAUAAAAGUAUUUAGUUUCACUUUACUUCUUUGUCU